rnacentral:tRNA from 1 species
GGCCUUGGGGUGUCAUCAUGCCGGAUUGCAAAUCCGGAGACGCGGGCUAACGCUCGCCGGGGCUU